rnacentral:rRNA from 1 species
UACGUAGGGUGCGAGCGUUGCCCGGAUUUAUUGGGCGUAAAGGGCGCGUAGGCGGCUCGGCACGUCCGUUGUGAAAUCGCCCGGCUCAACUGGGCGGGGUCAGCGGAUACGGUCGAGCUUGAGCAAGCUAGGGGGCAAUGGAAUUCCCGGUGUAGUGGUGGAAUGCGUAGAUAUCGGGAGGAACACCAGUGGCGAAGGCGGUUGCCUGGAGCUUUGCUGACGCUGAGGAGCGAAAGCAUGGGGAGCGAACAGG